GCUAUAUGGCUAGUAUAGCAAAACCAUGUUAAUGUGUGGUUGCUUUAGUUUUACUUUAGUUAUUUAUUUGUAGUAAACCCAUGUUUAAUUUUCAUAAAGGUGCAUAUGUAAUUAAAACAUUAUGUAAUUGAGUGCAGAAAUGAACGCGAGUAAUUUUACCUGACGCAGAUAUUACAAUAGCCAGUCUGAAUGGUUUACGUGAUCUGACUCUUGAUUUUAUUAUUGUUUUUAAUUUAUUUACUUAAUUUUUCCUUGCCGGGAGGCAAAUAUAUCAAACGUGCGUGCGGUAAGAGCGUCUAUGGUAAUUCACGUUGGCCAAAACACACAAGGAAACGCGUUAUGAAAAAAUAAUCUCACCGACAAUCACAGACAUUGCAUUCGGACGGGAUUAGUUUUCUCAGAGGAUCGCUGAGUUUGCUGAAAAACUGUAGGUAAUUUGCUCUGGAAUUGUUACAGAGGUUGUGUAAGAAAAACACAGACAUGGCAGAUUCGGACGGGAUUAAAAUCACCAAGUACGUCUGUGAAACACACAUUUCUCUAACGACCCCCUGUAAAACUAGUCCCGUCCAAAUAGGGCUAUUGACAGUAGGAACACUAUAACGUAUACAGGGACGAGACGGAGCAAGCACAGUUUAAUUUGAAACACCAAAACAUAAUCCAAACUUGAAACAACCAUAGACAAACCACAGACAGGAACCAGGAGAGCAAUCAGAAGACAAAACACAUACAGAAAACAAUAACUGACAAAACACAACUGAAACACAGGAGUAUAUAUACAUAAGUUAAUCAGGGAUGAUGAGGGACAGGUGUAGGUGAUAAGUUGGCAUGAUAAAUAAUAAGGGUUGCUAUGGUAACUGUCACGGAAACACCAGGCUCUUCCACCAAUCAACGAUCCCAAUCACCGGAGUUCUGAUCACACGCACCUGACCGUCAUUCACUAAUCACCAGCACCACAGUAUAAGAGCACACAGUUCACACAAGCACAUUGUCUGGUCUCCAUUGUGGAUAAGGACUCAGCUCGUAUGCUAAGCUACUUUUCUGAAUUCCAGUCUCCCAAUUUCCUUCGUCUUCUCCUUGUGUUCCUGUGUGUGUGCGCUCCGAUUACUUACCUGCAUCAAAUCCCAGUUAUCAGCUCCUGGAAAAACCCUUCCGUCAUUCCACGCUCACCACAACCUGGUAACAGAUAUUACCUUCCUCAGUAUCCUUGCCCAUCUCAUCAUAGACUCUAUUUCUGCCAUAACUCACCUGCUUCUGCUACCCUUUACCAUCUGUACAAUAAAUCCGUCUGUUUGAUUCCAACCUGUCUGUGUCUUGAGUCUGACUACACGUUACAGAAGACCAGACCAAACCACCAUGAAUCAGACAGAUGUGGACCCAUUCCAGGAGCUGGUGCAUUCACUUCGCCAUGUGCUCAUGCCUCCUGUCACCAUCACACCAACACCCGAACUGGUUUCCUCACCAGCCGCUUCUUCACCCGGACCGAUCUAUCCUGCCAGUCCCAUGGUCAAUCCAGCACCCUACUCUGGUUCGGCGGACAAUUGCAACUGGUUUCUCCUGCAGUGUUCACUCGCCCUUGAGAUGCAACCGGAUCGCUUCCCAACUGAGAGGGCUUAAGUCUCAUUUAUUCUGUCGUUAACAGGUCGAGCGCUCCAGUGGGCAGAAUCAUUGUGGCAGCAGAAUGGACCGGUCACUCAAACCUUGAAUGCCUUCCUUACUCACUUCUGUGACGAUUUUGGUCGGCCAGUAGGAAAUGCUUCAGUCGGUGAGCAACUGUAUCAUCUAAAGCAAGACAAACCCUCCGUGCAAGAUUAUUCUCUCCGUUUCCACACUCUAGCAGCCUCAAGUGGUUGGAACGAGCGCUCCCUGUUAACGACCUAUCGCCAAGGACUAGAGCCCUCUCUGCGGUUGCAUCUCUCUGCUUAUGAUGACACCAUGGGGCUCGAGCGUUUUAUCCAACUCUCCCUCUGGGUGGCUAAUUGGGUUCACGGCUGUAUGGAGGAACAUCGAUGUUUCCAACAAUCCACCAGUUUCAUUCCGCCAACUAGAGUUUCCGAGAACCACCUGGUGAACCCAUGCAAGUCAACAACACCUGCCUGUCCUCGGUCGAACAUCAACGUCGGCUGACCCAGGGAUUAUGUCUAUACUGUGGCCAGAGUGAACAUGUAAUACGGACCUGUCCCGUCCGUCCCCCACGUCCCGUGUCCAUGCCCUCCUCGACUCUGGGUCAGCCAGCAACUUCAUCUCUGCCGACUUAUGCCACCACCUACAGCUCAAGAAAAGACUCAGUGACAUCCCGUACAAAAUCCAAUCAAUAACUGGAAGUCCCCUCGGCCGAGGAAAGGUCCAACACUGUGUGGGUCCCAUUCAGCUGCGGAUCGGCCAGUUACACUCAGAAAACAUCUGCCUGUUGGUUCUGGAGGAAUCCACUGCUGAGAUUGUCCUAGGGUGCCCCUGGCUCAUUUCCCACAAGCCCUCCAUCUCAUGGUCAACGGGAGAAGUCCUGAAGUGGGGAAAGGAAUGCUUUCCUAGAUGUUCCUUAAGUCUUCCAAGACCCGUCUCGUCGGUUCCAACGAUCCCCUUGAGAACCAUUCCAUAGACAUCCCGCAGGAAUAUACCCACUUCAGUGACGUUUUCUGCCCAAAACAAGCCUCCAAGUUACCAUCUCACAAACCAUGGCUUUAACUGAAAAUUGAGUGUUUAAUCUUGUCAUUAUACUUUACUGACACUCUAUCCUCCAAUUUGAUACUGUUAAGUGCUUUGACACAAUCUGUAUUGUUAAAAGCGCUAUAUAAAUAAAGGUGACUUGAUUUGACUUGACCAUGGGACUGUGCAAUCGAUAUCCUACCCGAUGAACCAGUGCCCAGAGGUAAAAUCUACUCCCUUUCCAUCCCUGACAGAAGGCCAUGGAGGAGUACAUUAAGGAAGCAUUACAGCAAGGCUACAUCCGUCCGUCUACAUCCCCUGCUGCUUCUAGCUUUUUCUUCAUGGCCAAGAAGGACGGAGGCUUGCGGCCUUGCAUAGAUUACUGGGCUCUUAACAAGAUCACUGUCAAGUACAGGUAUCCACUUCCCCUCGUCCCAUCUGCACUAGAACAACUCCGCGGAGCCAGGAUCUUCACCAAGCUGGACCUCAGAAGUGCGUAUAACCUCAUCCGGAUAUGAGAGGAGGACAAAUGGAAGACUGCCUGUGUGACACCUACUGGCCAUUAUGAAUAUCUCGUCAUGCCAUAUGGAUUAGACAACGCCCCCUCCGUAUUCCAGGGUUAUAUGAAUGAGGUAUUCCGGGAGUACCUACAUCGCUUCGUGCUGGUUUACAUUGACGACAUCCUUGUGUACUCCCAGAAUGAGUCCGAACAUCGCCUGCACGUCUCUGAGACUUCAAUUCAGUUCCUCGGAUAUUAGAUCAGCUCCCAAGGGAUCCAGAUGGACGAAGGGAAGGUUGAAGCCAUCAAGGCCUGGCCUAGAGCCACUAUCAAAGAACUCCAGCAAUUCCUAAGUUUGUCAAAUUUCUACAGACACUUCAUUCACAACUACAGUUCCAUCACUGCACCUUUGACCAACCUCCUGAAAGGCAAGCCAAAGUCUCUGUCCUGGACACCCGAAGCCACCUCCGCCAUGAAGACCCUCCAAAAAGCCUUCACGUCGGCUCCACUCCUGGUCCAUCCUGAUCCACAGAAGUCCUUCAUAGUCGAAGUAGAUGCCUCAACAUCAGGAGUUGGAGCUGUUCUGUCCCAGCAGUAGGGGAAUCCUCCACGACUCCAUCCGUGUGCCUUCUUCUCCCGGAAAUUAUCCUUGGUGGAGCAAAAUUAUGAUAUAGGGAUUAGAGAACUUCUUGCCAUCAAGCUAGCCCUUGAGGAAAGGAGACACUGACUGGAGGAAGAUCCAGGAGAUAGGUCGUUACCUCCGUACCUUCUGCUAUAGGCACCAGAACUCCUGGAACCGAUUCAUUGCCUGGGCCGAGUACGCAUAGAACUCUCUCUGUCAGCCAUCUACGGAUCUCACAUCUUCCAGUGCGUGCUCAGCCACCUCUGUUGCCCUGGUCUGGGGAACCUUCGGAGGUACCAUCACUCACUCAUUGGUUCCAGGAGAGUGUGAGGGUCUGGGCCUCAGCACAUCAACAUCUAUUGCGUGCAGUAAGACAUCACAAACACCAUGCGGAUGUCCGGAGAGCCUCUACUCCCACAUUCCACCCAGGACAGAAAGUGUGGCUCUCCACCAGAGACAGCCAACUGAGACUUCCCUGCAAAAAGCUGAGUCCCAGAUUCAUUGGUCCCUUCCCCAUCAUCCGUCAAGUCAAUCCAGUCACAGCCUGGUCCCGUAGACGAACCCCCUCUUCCGAUGGUGCUGGAGGAUGGAACGGGCUACUCCGUAAAGGAGAUUCUGAGUUCCCGACGUUGUGGGGGUAAAUUGGAUUAUCUGGUUGACUGGAAGGAUUAUGGCCCUGAGGAAAGGUCACGGGUCCCAAGAGAUGACAUGUUUGAUCCCAAUCUCCUGGUGGAGUUCCACGCUUCCCAUCCCCAAGAUCCAGCGCCACGUGGUCAAGGUCGUCCUCCACGACAUCGGGGUAUUCGGCCCUCAGGAGUGGACCGUGGAGAGGGGGGUUCUGUCACGGAAACACCAGGCUCUUCCACCAAUCAACGAUCCCAAUCACCGGAGUUCUGAUCACAUGCACCUGACCGUCAUUCACUAAUCACCAGCACCACAGUAUAAGAGCACACAGUUCACACAAGCACAUUGUCUGGUCUCCAUUGUGGAUAAGGACUCAACUCGUAUGCUAAGCUACUUUUCUGAAUUCCAGUCUCCCAAUCGCCUUCGUCUUCUCCUUGUGUUCCUGUGUGUGUGCUCCGAUUACUUGCCUGCAUCAAAUCCCUGUUAUCAGCUCCUGGAAAAACCCUUCCAUCAUUCCACGCUCUCCACAACCUGGUAACAGAUAUUACCUUCCUCAGUAUCCUUGCUCAUCUCAUCAUAGACUCUAUUUCUGCCAUAACUCACCUGCUUCUGCUACCCCUUACCAUCUGUAUAAUAAAUCCGUCUGUUUGAAUCCAACCUGUCUGUGUCUUGAGUCUGACUACACGUUACAGUAACAAGCAAGGCAAACUGGGACAGGAAGUGAAGAGGGAAACAAUAGGAACAGAAACACAUUACAUAACAUGAGUUUUAAAAUGCAAAAAAAGAGGGACAAAUAUUCAAGCAAUAAUCAAAAAUGUAAACCAAUAAAUAAUUC